rnacentral:rRNA from 1 species
AGUCUGGUGCCAGCAGCCGCGGUAAUUCCAGCUCCAAUAGCGUAUAUUAAACUUGUUGCAGUUAAAAAGCUCGUAGUUGAAUUUCUGCUGCAUCGUGGUUCUUCGCUAUGUCGAGUGAUCUUCGUUGUGGCUUAGUUGGGGCAUGUUUUCAUGACUCGACGUUUACUUUGAGAAAAUUAGAGUGCUUCAAGCAGGCUUUUGCCUUGAAUACUUUAGCAUGGAAUAAUGGAGUAGGACUUUGGUUCUAUUUUGUUGGUUUUAGGAGCCGGAGUAAUGGUUAAUAGGAACAGUUGGGGGCAUUCGUAUUUGACUGUCAGAGGUGAAAUUCUUAGAUUUGUCAAAGACGAACUACUGCGAAAGCAUUUGCCAAGGAUGUUUCCAUUAAUCAAGAACGAAAGUUAGGGGAUCGAAGACG